rnacentral:rRNA from 1 species
CACGUAGGGGGCAAGCGUUGUCCGGAAUUAUUGGGCGUAAAGAGCUCGUAGGCGGUUCGUCGCGUCGGCUGUGAAAUCCCGAGGCUCAACCUCGGGUCUGCAGUCGAUACGGGCGGACUGGAGUUCGGCAGGGGAGACUGGAAUUCCUGGUGUAGCGGUGAAAUGCGCAGAUAUCAGGAGGAACACCGGUGGCGAAGGCGGGUCUCUGGGCCGAUACUGACGCUGAGGAGCGAAAGCGUGGGGAGCGAACAGG